UAAACAGGGCUCAAGAUUAGCGGUAUCCCGAUAUCCACAGGAUACCAGAUUUCAAUUUUGGAUACUAGAUAUCAUAGGUUUAGUAUCCAGACAGGAUACUAAAAUAAAAACCCCAAAAUAUUGGCAAAGUUUGUACAUCGCAGCGAAAUGUUCGUCAAAAUAAUGUUUUUUGUUGUUGUUUGUCACACGAAAAUGGAAUGAACCUGAGCACAAGGUUAAUUUCUGCCUCUCGAUUUUCGGCAGUGAUUGCUCAGAGCAUAACCAAUGAUUACGCGCAAUUUCCUGUCGCCAUCGCAACGUAAUGAAAUUUGACUUGUGUUUCUAUAUAUGCCUAUGGUUUUUCCCUGCAAGCACGAGAUAAAAAUCAUAUGAUACCACUUAUCGAAAUACCUACUACCCAAAUCUGGGAUACUAAAUUUCAAAUAGGGAUACUAGAUUUCAAGACCCUAGUAUCCACUUGGAUACCAGUUAAAAAUUCAAAUCUUGAGCCCUGG